UAGGGAAUCUUCCGCAAUGGACGCAAGUCUGACGGAGCAACGCCGCGUGAGUGAAGAAGGAUUUCGGUUCGUAAAACUCUGUUGUUAGAGAAGAACAGCGCAUAGAGUAACUGUUAUGCGUGUGACGGUAUCUAACCAGAAAGCCACGGCUAACUACGUGCCAGCAGCCGCGGUAAUACGUAGGUGGCAAGCGUUGUCCGGAUUUAUUGGGCGUAAAGCGAGCGCAGGCGGUCAAUUAAGUCGGAUGUGAAAGCCCCCGGCUCAACCGGGGAGGGUCAUUGGAAACUGGUGGACUUGAGUGGAGAAGGGGAGGGUGGAAUUCCAUGUGUAGGGGUGAAAUGCGUAGAUAUAGGGAGGAACACCAGUGGCGAAGGCGACUCUCUGGUCUGUAACUGACGCUGAGGCUCGAAAGCGUGGGUAGCAAACAGG
rnacentral:rRNA from 1 species